GCGAGUGAGCGGCAAAAGCUCAAAUUUGAAAUCUGGCCUCCUUCGGGGGUCCGAGUUGUAAUUUGAAGAAGCGACUCUGGUACCGGCCCUUGUCUAUGUUCCUUGGAACAGGACGUCACAGAGGGUGAGAAUCCCGUGCGAUGAGGGUGCCGGGUGCCAUGUAAAGCGUUUUCGACGAGUCGAGUUGUUUGGGAAUGCAGCUCUAAGUGGGUGGUAAAUUCCAUCUAAAGCUAAAUAUUGGCGAGAGACCGAUAGCGAACAAGUACAGUGAUGGAAAGAUGAAAAGAACUUUGAAAAGAGAGUGAAAAAGUACGUGAAAUUGUUGAAAGGGAAGGGCUUGAGAUCAGACAUUGUAUUUCCAUGGCGCUCUUUCGGGGGUGUCCUCUGGGUUUACAGGGCCAGCAUGGGUUCUGCGGGCAAGACGAGGGCCUUGGGAAUGUGCCUCCGCUGCGGUGGAGAGUUAUAGCCUGAGGAUUCCGGUUGCCACGCGGGACUGAGGAUUGCGAAUUUCUAGGAUGCUGGCAUAAUGAUCUUAAGCCGCCCGUCU
rnacentral:misc_RNA from 1 species